rnacentral:rRNA from 1 species
GACGAACGCUGGCGGCGUGCUUAACACAUGCAAGUCGAACGGAAAGGCCCUGCUUUUGUGGGGUGCUCGAGUGGCGAACGGGUGAGUAACACGUGAGUAACCUGCCCUUGACUUUGGGAUAACUUCAGGAAACUGGGGCUAAUACCGGAUAGGAGCUCCUGCUGCAUGGUGGGGGUUGGAAAGUUUCGGCGGUUGGGGAUGGACUCGCGGCUUAUCAGCUUGUUGGUGGGGUAGUGGCUUACCAAGGCUUUGACGGGUAGCCGGCCUGAGAGGGUGACCGGCCACAUUGGGACUGAGAUACGGCCCAGACUCCUACGGGAGGCAACAGUGGGGAAUAUUGCACAAUGGGCGGAAGCCUGAUGCAGCAACGCCGCGUGCGGGAUGACGGCCUUCGGGUUGUAAACCGAUUUCGCCUGUGACGAAGCGUGAGUGACGGUAAUGGGUAAAGAAGCACCGGCUAACUACGU